UAGGUGGCAAGCGUUGUCCGGAAUUAUUGGGCGUAAAGCGCGCGCAGGUGGUAUAAUAAGUCUGAUGUGAAAGCCCACGGCUCAACCGUGGAGGGUCAUUGGAAACUGUAAUACUUGAGUGCAGGAGAGAAAAGUGGAAUUCCUAGUGUAGCGGUGGAAUGCGUAGAGAUUAGGAGGAACACCAGUGGCGAAGGCGGCUUUUUGGCCUGUAACUGACACUGAGGCGCGAAAGCGUGGGGAGCAAA
rnacentral:rRNA from 1 species